GAUGAAGAACGCAGCGAAAUGCGAUACGUAAUGUGAAUUGCAAAUUCAGUGAAUCAUCGAGUCUUUGAACGCACAUUGCGCCCCCUGGUAUUCCGGGGGGCAUGCCUGUCCGAGCGUCAUUGCUGCCCUCAAGCACGGCUUGUGUGUUGGGCCCCGUCCUCCGAUCCCGGGGGACGGGCCCGAAAGGCAGCGGCGGCACCGCGUCCGGUCCUCGAGCGUAUGGGGCUUUGUCACCCGCUCUGUAGGCCCGGCCGGCGCUUGCCGAUCAACCCAAAUUUUUAUCCAGGUUGACCUUGGAUCAGGUAGGGAUACCCGCUGAACUUAAGCAUAUCAAUAAGCGGAGGA
rnacentral:misc_RNA from 1 species